rnacentral:tRNA from 1 species
CCAACCCUUGGUCUAAUGGUUAGGAUAUCUGCCUUCCAAGCAGAUGGUCCGGGUUCAAUUCCCGGACGGUGCA